rnacentral:tRNA from 1 species
ACCUGGGUGGCUCAGUCAGUUGAGCAUCUGAUUUCAACUCAGGUCAUGAUCUCACAGUUUGUGAGUUCGAGCCCCAUGUCAGGCU